rnacentral:rRNA from 1 species
AGUGAACGCUGGCGGCAGGCCUAACACAUGCAAGUCGAGCGGCAGCGCGGGGGCAACCCUGGCGGCGAGCGGCGGACGGGUGAGGAAUACAUGGGAAUCUACCUCGACGUGGGGGAUAACGUAGGGAAACUUACGCUAAUACCGCAUACGACCGAGAGGUGAAAGCGGCGGACCUUCGGGCGUCGCGCGAUGAGAUGAGCCCAUGUCGGAUUAGCUAGUUGGCGGGGUAAAGGCCCACCAAGGCGACGAUCCGUAGCUGGUCUGAGAGGAUGAUCAGCCACACUGGAACUGAGACACGGUCCAGACUCCUACGGGAGGCAGCAGUGGGGAAUAUUGGACAAUGGGGGCAACCCUGAUCCAGCCAUGCCGCGUGGGUGAAGAAGGCCUUCGGGUUGUAAAGCCCUUUGUCCGGAACGAAAAGCGACGGGUUAAUACCCUGUCGUGCUGACGGUACCGGAAGAAUAAGCACCGGCUAACUUCGUGCCAGCACGCCGGACGGUAAGUGUGUGUACUAC